rnacentral:sRNA from 1 species
UACCCCUGGUCGGAGCUAAUAAAAAAGUUGAAUCUCGCAAUGAAGCAAUUGGCUCCGAGGCAGCCCGACACAAAAAGCUGAGAUGAUCAUCAAUUUGUCGCAGACAUUUCAAUCACAGACCGACCCUACACGAUUUCUACGAAUCCAACGCGAGGUGAAAAUUGAAUUUUCAUGUAUUUUCCCUCGAGCAAUAGGCACCGACUAGAUGAGAUGUGCAGUACAUCCAACGGAGCUGCGUGGAGCGUCCUCCCGGAAAAGCUGGCGACAGGAGAAUUAUGACGUUUCCCCUCCUAUCCAGGAGGAAGGACUCGCUAUGUUUCUCUCGCUUCAUUGGAUAAACAGAGCGUGACAAAGAUUUUAAAUGCCAGCCAACACAAUUCCCAACCAUCUCGAAUCGGAUCCCUGUGUUGGCUUGGCAGCUGCCUGUCGGAAUUUUGACUCAGCUAUUUUUGUGAUUUAUUUCUGCUGAUGUUCUUUGUUUGUGGGCGGUGGCUGACUAUCCAAUGAUAUUUCUAUAACAAGAUGAAUUUUAUUGCCGUUUGUGCAAUUUGCUUGCCACAAAAACAUAACAUAUUGCUCCUGUCGACUUACGAAUUUCUCAAUUUGUUUUUGGGUUCCUCAACGCCCUUUUUUCUUGUCUCUUGCAGCAGAAGCAGCAGCAGCAACCCAAACAUUUAUUUAAUUAAUUGUUUUCGAUUUCGGAUGGAAAUCCAAGUGGAGAAAGCUUCUGGCCUCAUCUGUUUUUCUGGUCAACUUCAAUUUAAGCACACAAGCUGAGUGAAAGGAUAAGCAUCUGAAGGGAGAUCCUGUGCAAGCUGUAACAUCUCUCCAAGUGAGAAAGCUGUCUUCCCUGAAUUUAUAUGGCUUAACACUUCUUCGGUGUCAAAGACAUGCCACAGAGUGCUUUGGUUUUACUUGCCUUAAUGGUGGAAAGCAUUUUUACCUUAAGCUGAAACCGGUUUGCUAUUUUUUGAAGAAAAUGCUCUCAACAACAAACAAAUAGAGGAAAUGCGAAUAUUCUCGUUUCCCCUUUACAGUCUUUUUUUCCAAAUAUUAAAUUGGUGGCUUAUUCAAACAUUAUUUUCAAAUUUGUAUCAAUGUUAUAGCCUCAUUAGGAUAUGAGGUUGCCAUCAUAGUAGGGCAGGUACUCAACCGA